GUGGGGUGGGGUGAGGUCAGGUGGGUGGGAGGGAGUGGGGGGUCGGCAGGCCUGUUUCUAGGAUUUUGGGGUCCCUAGGCAACGGGAUUGUUGGGGGCCCUAGGGCAUUUUUUGGCCUUUUACUAAAAUGUGUGUGUGUGUGUGUGUGUGUGUGUGUCUGUGUGUGUGUAGGCUAUGUUUUUUCACGCUGCCCAGUGGUGUUUUUCAGAAUCACUAACCAUUAAACCAGGGGUAGGGAACCUAUGUCUCGAGGGCCCUUGAGGCCGUUUUAUCCGGCCCCUGAUAUCAUUAUAAUGUUUUGCAACUUCACAGGAAUCUUAGAAAUUACAUUUCCAAUGCAAUUAAGUUAGCCUAUAUUCAGGGGACCGGGUGGGGACUGUUUUAAAGGUGUCUACCUUUAAAGAUGUCUAUAUGUCUAUAUAGGCCUAAAGGUGUCUAUAUAGGCCUAAAUUUUAUGGGGAAAUCCUGAUUUGUGUUCAUAGUACGGCCCCCGGAGGAUUUUAUGACCAUGGUAGGAAUUUGAAGUGGCCCCUCGAAUGAAAAAGGUUCCCCACCCCUGCAUUAAACAUUUCUACUAGCCACAGCUUUGCUGCCAGUACAUUUUAUUAUGAUACUAUAAGCUCAGAAAUUAAGUUGAUCAAACAAUUCGAUCUGUGCUAUAAACAUUUAAAUGAACCUACAGAAUAGGCUAUCAAAAUAGAAUCAUCUGAAUGAUCUUUCUUGGACAUACAUUUUGAAGUGACCCUUCGAAUUAAAAAGGUUCCUCAGCUGCUUUUGAGGAAAAACAUCAAUGUGCUUGGCCACUCUGGUUUUUAAAUGGUAUUCUGAACUAAAGCAAGGAUUGUUGAAAGUUAGUUGAAAAUAGACCGUCUCUGGUUAAAUUAGUUCUACACCAAGCCUUUAGGUGGCAGUAAAACGAAUUGGCACAAUGCGAAUUCCACACACAAGCCACAAAGAAGCCAUCAGCCGCGGUCAACAGCACCUUCCUGAUUGAGCAGAACCACGCGUUGUCUGUGUGGUUUACAAGUUUCUUGGCGAUAUGGGGGGAAAGUUCCUCACAUACCAACGGAAAAUGGGCUUCAUAUACAUGCUGCUGUCUCAUAAUAUGGCGAAGACGAGUCAUCUGAAGGCCUAACUCGCCAUAGAAGACUGAAAGAAUUGUCCUGCAGGAUGCUGUGUCCUGCAAUCCUGUGUGCUGUGCUACAGACGCGUGUGGAGGUCAACCCAAAAUGGGCACAGUCUCACCACAGAAGAGUGAAAGAGGAUCCUGGCAGGGAGACGGUAGUGUCCUGCAGAAUGGUGAUGGGCCAAUCUUACAAGAGACCACAGAAAACUGAUAUAGUGAACUAUAGAAACAACAGUGCCUGCUGCAGUAUAAUGAGGACACCCUGAGCAGAGAGCUCCAAUAGACCCAGGUCCAGUGUCUUGGCAGGGUGAAAUGGCACUGAUAUGGUGUCCUGCAGGAUGCUGUGUCCUGCAAUCCUGUGUGCUGUGCUACAGACGCGUGUGGAGGUCAACCCAAAAUGGGCACAGUCUCACCACAGAAGAGUGAAAGAGGCUCCCAGAAGUGAGACUGAGUGCCUGUUGCAGUAUGACGAGGACGCAGUGACCAGAGACCUUCAGUAGACCCUGCUGGCAUGAUUGGCGUCUGAAGAACAUGAAAUCAACAGCAAUGUUUAUAAUGUUGUACAUACCUGUAUAGUCUGUAUUAAAAGGCAGUACCUGUA